rnacentral:tRNA from 1 species
GGGCCGUUAGCUCAAUUGGUAGAGCAGCUGACUCUUAAUCAGCGGGUUCCGGGUUCGAGUCCCGGGCGGCCCACCA